rnacentral:misc_RNA from 1 species
GUGUUAAUGAGAUUAUUUUUAAACUUUAUUAUGGAUCGCUUUUACCUGGCGCAUGCGUAUAAAUUUGGAGCACCGUCAAUGUGUGGGGUUCAUUUGCCAACCGCCAAAAUUUCGUCCCAGUGGAAUCCUGGUCCGCCUCCUGUCGGACCUACGACAACACCUUCCAGAGGUGGUGCUCAAGUGCCAAACACAGCACCCCCUACUGCUGCUCCAGCACCCCCUCCACCUGACGUCACAGGGUCAGAUGACAGUAACAGCAAAGACAGUUCUUCCAAAGGUGACAUGGUUAAUUGUGAGGCAGAGGGGGUUUGGAGUCCGGAUAUUGAACAGAGUUUUCAAGAGGCACUGGCUAUCUAUCCGCCGUGUGGUCGACGAAAAAUUAUACUAUCCGACGAAGGUAAAAUGUAUGGUCGAAAUGAGCUCAUCGCCAGGUAUAUAAAACUCCGUACUGGGAAGACUCGAACUAGGAAGCAGGUCUCUAGUCACAUUCAAGUAUUGGCUCGGCGGAAAUCCCGCGAAAUUCAAUCAAAAUUGAAGGACCAGACUUCCAAGGAGGUGGCAUUGCAGUCGAUGUCAUCCAUGUCUUCUGCUCAGAUUGUAUCUUUGUUUCACUCCCAGGAUCAUGCUUCAAAGGAGAAAGCCCUCCAGUCACUAACUUCACUGUCAUCCGCCCAAAUUGUUUCUGCUUCUGCCAUCCAGAACAAGGCUGGUCUUUCCCUAGUUGGUCCUACUGUUAGCUAUCCAGGAGCAGCUUUUUGGCAAACAACAAUUGGUCAGCCAGGGACCUCAGAAGAUGUUAAACCAUUUUCUGCUCAGCCAUAUGGUAUGACCACCAAGCCAACAUUCUCAACAGUGGUUUCUGGGACAGACAUAUUAGCCCAAACCACACUAUCUCCAUGGGAAGGUCGUUCUAUUGCCACGCAUAAACUUCGUUUAGUUGAAUUUUCUGCUUUCAUGGAACAGCAACGAAACCAAGACUCGUACCACAAACACCUCUUUGUUCACAUAGGAGGUUUACCAGGUUACUCUGAUCCAAUAUUGGAAGCAGUUGAUAUUAGACAAAUUUAUGACAAGUUCCCAGAAAAAAAAGGUGGAUUAAAGGAGUUGUAUGAUAAAGGCCCCCAAAAUGCUUUCUUUCUGGUAAAGUUUUGGGCUGACCUUAACACUAGCAUUCAAGAAGAAACGGGAGCCUUCUAUGGAGUUACUAGCCAGUAUGAGAGCAGUGAAAAUAUGACAAUAACAUGUUCUACAAAAGUGUGCUCUUUUGGCAAGCAAGUGGUUGAAAAAGUCGAGAUUUUCUUUUUGCCUUGGAACAGACUGAAUAUGCUAGGUUUGAAAAUGGACGUUUUGUGUAUAGAAUACAGAGGUCACCAAUGUGUGAAUAUAUGAUCAACUUCAUUCAUAAACUCAAACAUCUUCCAGAGAAGUACAUGAUGAACAGUGUUCUGGAGAACUUCACAAUCCUUCAGGUGGUGACUAAUAGAGAAACCCAGGAAACGCUGUUGUGUAUUGCUUAUGUUUUUGAAGUGUCUACAAGUGAACAUGGUGCUCAGCAUCACAUCUAUCGACUGGUGAAAGACUAAGAAUUGACUUGGAGCACUGCAUCAUUCUGUCCAUCAUUACAUCAAGUGUCAUCCUUGUCCAUCUUAAUCUCCUGACAGUGCCUACUCUUGUAAGGUGGCUGCAGUUACACCUUUUAUAGUUGUUUGCAUUAGAUAAAACAUGUCCACUUGAAGUAGAAGAUUUAUUUUUACAUAUCCAACUAGAAGUGUCUACUUGUUAGCAUGACCAACAAUCUUCAUCUGGCCCUGUAGGACAGAAAUGAGCUAGAUUGAAGCCUGUUUGAUUUGUGAAGCUGAAGAAACUGUAUGUUUUAGAGCACAGCUUUGUAUGCUUGAAUGAGAAAGAAAACAUCUGACCUAAUCUUAUGUGAUCACACUGUUAACUUGUUUUUUCUUUUCUUGUAUUAUUUUUUUAUAUUUUACCUGCUUGUCACAUUCUAUUUUAUACUCUGUUAUUAAAUAUUAGAACUGUUAGUGUUGUAUGUUCUUUGUAUGGUAGAUGUACAGAAGGGUGUGUUGUGCUUUGCUUUUCUCAACUCAUGAACAGAAAUUCUGAGUAGAUAACUUUAUCAGUGUGUCACCCAGUUUCUUUGCCUAUAUUUUGAACUUUUGCAAUCCUCUUCAGUCACAACUGUAGUGUGUUAUAUGACUUACUUAUUAGAUUCGUUUCAUAAAGAUACGGUCAGUAGUGGUUGGUUAGCAAUCAGAUCUGUUAAUUUCUGUUUGAGAUACAUCAAACAAUAUGUAUGAAGUUCCAUUAGUAGUCCUUUUAAUAAGAAAAAAUUCAAAACUAAUAACCUAACAUUAAAGAUAUAAACCAUGAGCCUUAGUUUUAGAUUUGUUUUGUUUUUCUUGCAACAAAGACACUGUGAAUAGUUUAAUGCCAGAUCAGUAAUGGUUUUCAGUAAGUUUAGUGUGUGCCAUGUUCCUUAUUUAAGCAUAACACUAAUUGUACAUUUUUCUUAUGAUACUUUCUCAAGCUAGAAAGAAAAAGGUAACAUAAUGUAGAAUAGCUUAUACAAAUGUUGUUUUAUAAUAAUGUUAUUAUUUGUCUUUCAUAAUCAUGAGUGGAAGUGCUGCAUAAAAUCAAAUUUAGUGUAAGAAAUCUGACAUGAUGUUUUGUCUUCUGUGUCUGUCUUGUUCUUUAAAAGAUCCAAUACUUAAAUCAGUAUAAUACAUCAUCUUUUAAAAUUGAGAUAUCUAUAGCUUAUUAUGUUUUUUAAUCUGCCCUUUUCAGAGAAAAUCUGUUGUGACUGAAGUUUAUAAACUGUUUAACUAAACAAAUGAAUGCAAUCUAUUAAGUGUUUGCAAAUCCAAAUGACAACAGUUUGAUUUGAACAAGUUAUCUAUUUCUGGAGAAAUGUGGACUUCACCAACAAACCUGUCUAAAGUACAUUAAUUUGUCUUGUGUUCCAUCAGCAGCAAGUAUUAUAAUUCCAGGAUUAUCUAAAAGCAUAUGGUCUCUUAUGCUGUCUGCAAGACCUUUGGUUAAGCAAAAUAAAAAUAUUCAUUUGUUAGUCAUUGCUACUUAUUUUAAUCAAAAUCUUUCUAAUAAAUUCUUGAGUUCUUUCAGUGAAUAAGAUUAUGGAAAUACAAAUAAUAGGUCUUGCUACUGUCUUUGUGAUUUACUUUUAAGUUAUUUGCAUCUAUCUUUUAGUUGUCAGAUAUAUCAUCUGCAAUAAAGACUUCAUAAGAUUUCUUCUCAUGAUGUUAUAAUGAAAAUCUGUUUCCAGUGAGAUAACUUUUAGAGAAGAAAAACUUUAUCCUUUAAGAAAAUCAGUUUACAAUCAAAAUAAGAUCUAUUUCAUGAAUCAAGUUCCCUGAUUUAUGUACAAUUACAGAAAAUGUCAGUGAAUCAAUUGAUAAAUGUGUUUUGUAAUUCUCAUUUUAUUGUGGAAGAGGUGUUUGAGAAUAAGGAGUCAGAGAAUAUCCUUAACCCUUUGACUAUGGCUGCUUUGAAUGUGCACAGAAUUUUUGUGAGCUGUACACUGUAUACAGCACACUCGCAUUCAAUGGAUGGCGGACUGUACCCUAUACGGCGAAUCAGCAGUCAGAGGGUUAAAGAAUAAAAUCAAAGGUUUGAUCUCAAGAUUUAAUUGAACUUGUUUUCAGAAUUAAAUUACUUUUUCAUUGUUUUGUGCCUAAAAAAUAUUAGUUUAUUUUGCAUGAUAGGCUCAGGAAAUUACUCUUUUUCAUGUUUUGUUUUUCUAAAAUAACAAAAAUAUAAUACUAGGAUCUUUUCAUUAAAAUACUUCUACCAUAUGUUAUUUCAAUUUAAGAUCAUAAGUACAAAGGUUUAAACUAUUACCCAUAAGGCUUAGUUUUCAAUAUAAAAAAAAAAUGUUGAAUUUUAUUAUUCAUAACAUUAUUUGCUUAAAGAAUCAGCUUAUUGACUUGAUAAAGUGGUUUUGUUGACUGCUAUAUGUCGAGUGCCUGCAUUUUUUAUAUGCCUUGGCCAUGUUUUUAAUUGUGAAAGAAUAUGACGCUCCAAGAAGCUGAAGUUAAAUUUUAAUACUAUUUCUGAUGAAGCUUAGUAGCAUAAGCUCCUCAUGAAUCAUUGUUUAUAACCUUUAAAUUUUAUUCAAAUGAGACCUUGAGCUCAUGUUACAGUAAAACCAUUGUUAUCUAUUUACAUAUCUGAAAGUAACAUAAACCAAUUCUGCAGCAAAUUUGGAUCUUUUUUUUGUUGCUUCACUAAUGUUUCUGCUCUAAACAGAUUUCAUAGAAGUUUGUGAUGUAAUAUCUAUAAAGCUAUUUAGAAUAUAAAUGUUGUAUGUUAAAAAAAAGAUUUAUAUAUGUAGGGGUAUUCCUUGUAAAAUCACAAUUAUUUUAUUAGAGAAGCUAAAAACAGGUUAAGGGAUUAAAAUAAGCUUCAUGUUUUAUACUAUCUUUUUUGCUAGAUUUCCAGUUACUAAUAUUUACAUAAUAACCGAUAUCUGUAAAAUAACAGAUAAUUUGGUUGCCAAGUGCAUUAGAAUCAAAUGAUCAAAAUAGUUUAAUGUCACAUAGCUGUAACAUAGUUACUGUAGUCUCAUAAACUUGUGUCUACAAUAGUUGUAUAAUAUGAAAGUUUUUUGCAAACAUUUAAUUAUUUGGAAGGAACUUUCAAACUACCAAGAUUGAAAGAAGUUACUAAUGCUUUAAAGGCCCUAUCAUUGUUGGCAGCUAUCGCCUCAUUAACUAAAGUUGUUUACUAAACUCUUAAAACACCUAUUGAAUAAACCUUCUUUUUCUGUUUUGUAAAUAUUAUGCAUGGAAUGUACAGAUGGUAAAAUGGUUAGUAUUAGUAGCAAUAUUGAGGUAAUACAAGUUGAAUUUACUUGUAAUUGUACUGCUGAAAUCAGUUAACACAUACUGGAUAAAUUACAACCAGAAUAUGCUUUGUGUAGUUUCUAGUACCUAAAUCUCCAUUAAAAGUAACUAGUGAACAUGUUAUCAAAUUCUUGAUAAUUUUUUCUGCUACCAAAAAAUGUAUAAUAAAUUUAAUUGUUUGAACUUUUAUAUUUGAAUUCUGAAUCAUUUUGUGUGUUUAGUAUUCAUACAGUUAUUUAAAUUCUGAGUAUAAAAAUCUCGGCAAAUAUGAUUAUCAACAUAUAACAGAAAAAAAUUGUUUAGAAAUUUCAAGUAAGAUUUUUAGAAUGUGAAAAUAUUUUGGUAUUAUUUUGAGAAAGAAACUUCCUAAACCUUUUAAUCUAAUUAUCCUCUGACGUGAAACAACAUGCUUGGGAUGCUUGAAGAUUAAAAUAAUAAGAUUUUGAUAACAAAUUGAAACAAAUAUAUAAUGGUUAUUUUUAAUGGAGAACAACUGAAAAGUUAUUUAAUUAUUUUUUCUUUGAUUACUUUUUAUGUUUAAGAUUGUACACAAAAAUACUGUAAAUAUGCAUUUUCUCAAAUGGAAAAGGGGCAGCCAUUUCCCUAACUGCACCUUUUUAAGAAAGUUAUUUUCCUCUAUGUAUUUUGAGCAUUUUAAAGAAUGUUUUUUAUCAUUGGAAAGGAUUAAUUAUAAUAAGAGAAUUGUAGGUUUUUUUUUUUAUCUAUGAAAAUUUUAGAAAAGAGCUGUGCUCUAAAUCUUGUUGGAUAAUGUAAUUAUUGAUGUGAAGAAAAGAAGAAUCUGUAAAUUGUCAUAUAAAAUUUUGGAAUUUGUGAUGUAAUCAGCUAGUUUUUAUAACAAUGGCAGCUUCCCCGGUUGUGUCUGAAAUUUGAUUUAAUUUUUAGGCUAAUUUCAAAAAAAAAAGAUUCUGUGUGAACAUUUAUUUCAAAAAACUUCUUUCUUUGUUCUACAUAAUGCGCAAUAAACAUGUCUUGUUUGAA